CCCCUAGACGUUCUGGGCUGCACGCGCGCUACAAUAAUACGCACAGCGAGUAUCACCGAGCUCGAAAGGGCAAGGUAAACAAUAGAAAAGGUACUGUAAUGGUUAUAGAUCCUUGUAAUUAUUGAUCUUCAACGAGGAAUUCCUAGUAAGUAUGUGUCAUCAUCACGCACUGAUUACGUCCCUGCCCUUUGUACACACCGCCCGUCGCUCCUACCGAUUGGGUGAGCCGAUGAAACUCUCGGAUGUAGGCUAUUCAUAGCCCGCAGAAGAGAUUUGAGUCGUAGCGCUUAGAGGAAGGAGAAGUCGUAACA
rnacentral:rRNA from 1 species